CCUCUGAUCUGGAGUAUUUCUUCAGGUCAAACGCAUCCAGCUCCUUUUCUGAAGUCAGCAACACAAAGACCAGAGCUGACCACUGUGCAGGACGUGCAGUGUGAUCUUCAGAGCCCCCUCUCUGGCACUGCUCUCCUGCUUCUCAUCUUCAGCAUCCACUUCCUUAUCCUGCUUCUGACUCUCAAAGCCUUCUGGGAAUUCUGGACUAAGAAUCCUCUUGUACCUCUUCAGCUCGUUGUUCACAAAUGUCAUCAAAUUCUCUUCAAGCAACUGAAAUAAAUAAUGUAAAUCAUUUAAGCAAGAGAAGAAAUACUUUCUCAUUAACACAUUAAUGAAUGAUUGACAUAUCAACUUUACUUGAGGUAAACAAAAACAAUUGUACAUAACAGGACCACAUACACUGAAUAUAGAGGCCAGGUCUGUUUGAUGACUCUGGGAAGACUGACCACUGAGAAUCUCUGACUCUGAUGUCUCCUGUUGGGUUCUGUGGACAAAAUAUGAGAUUACAUUUCCUCAACCAGGGAGGGCACACACACACACACACACACACACACACACACACACACACACACACACACACACACACACACACACACACACAUAGGCACACACACAGGGAGGGAGGGAAUGUCGUGUUUGUUUAAAAUUGCUUUUGGACUAUGAAAAUGGAAAAAAGCAUUAGCCUAUGGAUUUUGAAAACAACAAGAAUAAAUGGGAAUAUGGGAGAGGGGAAAUGACUGUGUUUAUCUCACUGACCAUGACCCGUGAGUUCUUCUUACCUUUGUUCAGGAGAAUAAUCUCCCUCUCUGAAGUCUAUAUUUUUAUCCAUUGACCAGUCACUCUUCAUGGACACACAGCUGGGUACAGGGGAGGCUGGUCUCUCCUGCUUGAUUGGACUUCAACACAACAGAGACAAACAUUACAUCUCUCAUCUACUCUGACCUCAGAUGGGGAAACAUAAUAAUAGUUUAAUUCCAAAUCGCUAUAUAUCCAUUUUCAUAAAAGUUGGUAAAUGAGAUGUUAUUGUUUAAAGAAAUUAUAAAAGUGAUAGAUGUGUUUAUUUUACCAGCUAAUCAUGGCAUGUGAUUGUUUAUUGACAGCCAUGUGUUUGUUUGAAAUCUAUCACUUGGUGGUUUCAUUUCAGAGAGACAAAUAACCAUGUUUAAUUGCAAAAUGUUACGUCUGCCUCACUUUCAGAAAAAUAAAAAGUACUGCUCGGUUUUAUACAGUCAAAUGUUACUGACUGGCUAGAUUCAUUCUUAUGUAGCAACAUUAUGAAUGGUGUUUUUUACAUUGGAUUAAAGUAGAAACUCAGAGCUAGAAAAUGUUAUCAGACACUACAGUUGAGGAACAAUGGGAAAGUAAUUCUGCUUUGGAAGAUGAUAAACUUGAAACCUCACUUUUCAGAAAAUGAUCCUUGAAUGUUUUGGUACACUACUGGAGAGCUCUUCUUUGUAAACAGUGGUGUUACUUUGGCAGAUAAUGUCACCCAUCUAAAUAAAUCGUUUUUCAUAUAUAUAA